AUGAACGUGCAGGAAUUGAAAUCCUCCUGCCUCAGCCCCCUGAGGAGGAGUAAGGCUCUGGCUCUGGGUUUCCAGUGGCUGCAAAGCACAGCUUGGCAGGCAGUGCCUUUGGGGGCAUGGAUAGCCUCCCAUAUUACCAAGGACAUGCUGCCAGGCUCCUAUCCCCUGACCCCAGAGGAAUGGGCAGCCACCACCAAGAAGUAUAAUAUGCAUAAAAAAGAUAAUAAUAUGCGUGUGGAAGACUAUGAGCCUUACCCAGAUGAAGGCAUGGGGUAUGGAGACUUCCCAAAGCUGCCUGACUGCUCACAGCAUGAGAGGGAUCCACGGUAUGAAUGGGACCGCCCAGACCUGAGGUUGAACUGAGGUGAACCGAUUCACUGGCAUCUAGACAUGUAUAUCCAGAACUGUGUGGACACAUCUCCCACACCUGUUUCUUGGCAUAUCAUGUGUAACCAUCUCUUCGGCUUUGUGGCAUUCAUGCUUUUUAUGUUCUGGGUAGGGGAGAUGUACCCCAGCUACCAGCCUGUGGGGCCAAAGCAGUAUCCUCGUAAUAAUCUGUACCUGGAAUGAGGUGGUGAUCCCAGCAAAGAACCUCAGCCGGUGGUUCACUAUGAGAUCUGA